GGGCCCGCACAAGCGGUGGAGUAUGUGGUUUAAUUCGAUGCAACGCGAAGAACCUUACCAGGGUUUGACAUCCUGCGAAUCUCUUGGAAACAGGAGAGUGCCUUCGGGAACGCAGUGACAGGUGGUGCAUGGCUGUCGUCAGCUCGUGUCGUGAGAUGUUGGGUUAAGUCCCGCAACGAGCGCAACCCACGUCUUUAGUUGCCAGCAUUUAGUUGGGCACUCUAGAGAGACUGCCGGUGAUAAACCGGAGAAGGUGUGGAUGACGUCAAGUCAUCAUGCCCCUUACAUCUGGGCUACACACGUACUACAAUGCUACGGACAAAGGGCAGCAAGUUCGCGAGGACAAGCAAAUCCCAUAAACGUGGCUC
rnacentral:rRNA from 1 species